rnacentral:rRNA from 1 species
CUUUUCAAUUAAAGGUGACCUCUUCUUUUGAAAGUUACCGUUUGGAGAUGACCUUGCGGCCCAUUAGCUUGUUGGUGAGGUAACGGCCCACCAAGGCUUCGAUGGGUAGCCGGCCUGAGAGGGUGAACGGCCACAUUGGGACUGAGAUACGGCCCAGACUCCUACGGGAGGCAGCAGUAGGGAAUUUUGCGCAAUGGACGAAAGUCUGACGCAGCAACGCCGCGUGAGCGAUGAAGGUUUUCGGAUCGUAAAGCUCUGUUGGGUGGGACGAAACGUUUCGAGGUUAAUAUCCUCGAGAUCUGACGGUACCAUUCGAGGAAGCUCCGGCCAACUACGUGCCAGCAGCCGCGGUAAUACGUAGGGAGCAAGCGUUGUUCGGAAUCACUGGGCGUACAGGGAGUGUACGCGGAAAGGCAAGUCAGAAGUGUAAUCUACGGGCUCAACCCGUAGCUCGCUUUUGAUACUGCUUUUCUUGAGUAGUUGGAGAGGGAAACGGAAUUCCAGGUGUAGCGGUGGAAUGCGUAGAAUAUCUGGAAGAACACCAGUAGCGAAGGCGGUUUCCUGGCAACAUUCGGACUCUGAGGCUCUAAAGCGUGGGGAGCAUACAGGAUUAGAUACCCUGGUAGUACACGCCGUAUACGAUGGCAUUAUGAUAUCGGGGAAUCAUUUUCUUCGUGUCCGCAGUAUACGCGAUAAGUUCCCCUCCUGGGUAGUACGCUGCUAAGGGUGAUACUCAAAGGAAUUGACGGGGUCCCGCACAAUCGGUGGAGCAUGCGCUGUUAUUCGAUGCUACGCGUAGAACCUUACCUGGGCUUGACAUGGGAGUGAUACUUCCCAGAGAUGGGAAGCCUUCCUUCGGGAACACUCUACACAGGUGCUGCAUGGUUGUCGUCAGCUCGUGUCGUGAGAUGUUGGGUUAAGUCCCGCAACGAGCGCAACCCUCGCCCUUAGUUGCCAUCAGGUAAUGCUGGGAACUCUAGGGGGACCGCCUGGAACAACCAGGAGGAAGGUGGGGAUGAUGUCAAAUCAUCAUGGCUCUUACGUCCAGGGCUAUACGCGUGCUACAAUGGUCGGUACAGAAGGAUGCCAAGUCGCGAGACCGAGCUAAUCCAUUAAAACCGGCCUCAGUUCGGAUUGGAGUCUGCAAUUCGACUCCAUGAAGUUGGAUCGCUAGUGAUCGCG